rnacentral:lncRNA from 1 species
CGAAUACAAUUCAUCAUAUUAGUCUCCGAAUUUAAAAUACUGAACAAAGUUAGAACAUUACAAGUCUCGAGACCGCGAGUAGCGAGUUUGUCUUCACAUUACAAGUCGGUAUCGAUCAUCUAAACUACCAUCACAUAGAAGAGAGUUGCAGUCAUCACGAUGAACAUAAUCGCGAUGAAACUGGUCUUCAUCCGGUUCCUCCAAC